GACGAACGCUGGCGGCGUGCUUAACACAUGCAAGUCGAACGGAAAGGCCCUGCUUGCAGGGUACUCGAGUGGCGAACGGGUGAGUAACACGUGGGUGAUCUGCCCUGCACUUCGGGAUAAGCCUGGGAAACUGGGUCUAAUACCGGAUAGGAGCCAUUUUUAGUGUGAUGGUUGGAAAGUUUUUUCGGUGUAGGAUGAGGUCGCGGCCUAUCAGCUUGUUGGUGGGGUAAUGGCCUACCAAGGCGGCGACGGGUAGCCGGCCUGAGAGGGUGGACGGCCACAUUGGGACUGAGAUACGGCCCAGACUCCUACGGGAGGCAGCAGUGGGGAAUAUUGCACAAUGGGCGCAAGCCUGAUGCAGCGACGCCGCGUGGGGGAUGACGGCCUUCGGGUUGUAAACUCCUUUCGCUAGGGACGAAGCUUUUUGUGACGGUACCUAGAUAAGAAGCACCGGCUAACUACGUG
rnacentral:rRNA from 1 species